UCUAUGUCUGUCCCUGUUGUCUUACUUCUGGAUUAACGUGUCACGUGUUCUGAAUUGACCAAUCAUAAACGAGUAUUCAACUAAGCCAUGUAAUAAUGUGAAUUAAUCAUUUUUUUAAUGUUCUUUUUUGCUUCAGACGCCCACCAAAGUCAACACAAAAGGCCUUGAGAAGAUAUUCAAACUAGAUAUUUUCCUCAUGUAUUUCCUGAGAGACAAUCCUAAAGCAUACAAAUUAUUACAGAAACAACUCUCAUGUAUCGGCUGCCAAGUAGAGUUAGAUUUUGAGGAGGAGGAGGCAGUGGUAAGGGGGGAUAUUGAAAAGGGACCUGGAGGAGCUUUUGGGGCUGCAGAGCAGUGGGAGUUACAGGUCAUCGAGUCCUUGAUCAAUUUCACUGAGAGCUACCUCCUGCUAUCAUUGUGGUUGAGCCGAAAAGAAGCCAAAUCCUACUGCAGGACCUCUCCUUUGUGACAGACGAUAUUAAAGUGUACAGAGAGGGCGGUUAUCCCAGUUUGGUUGUGGAGAAACUGAGGCUGGUGCAUGAGAAAAAUAGCAAUCCUCGGAAAAGAGCCCUGACAACCCCGGAGGAGUUACCAUUGUGGAGAAGCUGUUUCAAGCUGGUAGAGGGAAGAGUAUGAGUCGAGACAAAUGAGCGGCAAAAUACCCCAGAAGUUAAGACAACAUAGGCAGCGACAUGGUGAGACCGUUAAGAGGGGCUGACAAAGAGGAACAGUCAGGAGCCAAACACAUUUGAAGGAACUGAAGAAAAAAGUAAAAGGAAGAGCGAGUUAAAAACUAUCCCACAGCCCUGGAUUAACCUUUAUAGCGAUCCACGGUCUGUAUCCAAGUACCAGACCCGCUCCAGCAGAGACUCAGAAAAUACCUGUUUCCCUGGAGGUUGGGUCCGAGCUGGUCAUGUCCAGUUUGUCUCCGAUGCCCUCGAUGAGGCCAGGAGCCACGCUGCAGAGAAGACUUUGAUGUGGCCAAUGUCGAGGCUGCAGGGGGCGCUCUAACUGCCACUCCAGAUUCAGAUGGAUUAAAGGAAAUCCUCCUUCAAAAAGCCAAGAAACGAAGCCUAACUCUCCGAGAGUUCAGAGUAAUGUCAGCUUCAUUCCCAGGAACCGGUGGAACCCCAAACACCAAAGUACAAGACUGGUUGGCUACAGAGAAAAAUGUGAAUAGGCUUAAAGAUGGUUCUGCAUGACUACCAGAUCAACCAAAUUCGGGAACACAAGAAAGUUCUAAACCUACCGAACCUUGACAUGCUUGAAUGUUUUGAUAAGAGUUUUUAGGAAAUGAUUGGAUGAAGCAGAACAAAGUGACUUGAAAGCCUCACCUUUCCCAUACCCCUGUGUGCCUUGUGUCUGGUCCUGUCCGUCUGGUCAAAGAGGCAAGCAGGAUCUUAAUCUCAGCUCUAGCUAGUUCUGAUCUCCGACACUUUGGUUCUGGACGGACCCGGGGCUCUGCAAGUUACUUUCCAAGCAGAAGGUAAAGGUGGGCAAGAGAGUUGGUAGAGAGCUCAAUUUCAGGAUUAUCGUCAAAGGAAACAAGCAAGGUGUGGCAUUCAGCAAAUGUGCAAAGUAAACCACGAAGCAUCAGCAUGCCUUGUAACCAGCGCCUUGGCACACGGAGCGACCUCCCCCAGAUUGCGCUGCAAUACUGUUUGGAAGCAAUGUGGCCAUAAAGACGAGCCUGGAGACAAGCUUGGCAGUCUGAUAGAUGCUCAAGUGAAUGUGUUGGUUGUCCCCCAUGCUCAACAAGAACCUCACUUCUACUAAAGAUUGGUAAAUGUCUGUUUAAAAAAGGCGGGAAUGCAAUCAAGUCCAAAGUUUGGACUCGGUGGCAGCGAAUUGUACCGUUUGCUCCUGGUGAUGUCCCUGCAGGUGAGACGCGCCCUCCAUGAGUCUGGGCUGCUCAAACUCUUCUUCAUCGAGUGCUUGCCAUGGGAUGGAGUCAAGAGGCAAGAGUGUGAAGGCGCUUGGUAAUGCUAAGCAGAUGCUUGGACCUUUUGCUACCAGCAGGCAUAGCUCAGUUGCCUUUCCAGUCAUUGGACCCGGAUGUUUAAAAUACCCAAUGAAAGAGCCUUCAAGUGCUUAUGAGAACAUUUGCCACUUGGAUUAUCUGGCGUCCUCUGGAUCUCUCACCAACCAUCCAGAUCGUCAAUUAAACCAGGCUACCCCUGACUCUGAGGAG